GCAGGGAUCACAUCUACAACGGGCCCAGAAUGCCGCUGGCGGAGUGUUAACACGCACCAGUCACAGGGAUCACAUCUACAACGGGCCCAGAAUGCCGCUGGCGGAGUGUUAACACGCACCAGUCACAGGGAUCACAUCUACAACGGGCCCAGAAUGCCGCUGGCGGAGUGUUAACACGCACCAGUCACGGGGAUCACAUCUACAACGGGCCCAGAAUGCCGCUGGCGGAGUGUUAACACCCACCAGUCACAGGGAUCACAUCUACAACGGGCCCAGAAUGCCGCUGGCGGAGUGUUAACAUGCACCAGUCAUGGGGAUCACAUCUACAACGGGCCCAGAAUGCCGCUGGCGGAGUGUUAACACGCACCAGUCACAGGGAUCACAUCUACAACGGGCCCAGAAUGCCGCUGGCGGAGUGUUAACACGCACCAGUCACAGGGAUCACAUCUACAACGGGCCCAGAAUGCCGCUGGCGGAGUGUUAACACGCACCGGUCACAGGGAUCACAUCUACAACGGGCCCAGAAUCCCGCUGGCGGAGUGUUAACACGCACCAGUCACAGGGAUCACAUCUACGACGGGCCCAGAAUGCCGCUGGCGGAGUGUUAACACGCACCAGUCACAGGGAUCACAUCUACGACGGGCCCAGAAUGCCGCUGGCGGAGUGUUAACACGCACCAGUCACAGGGAUCACAUCUACGACGGGCCCAGAAUGCCGCUGGCGGAGUGUUAACACGCACCAGUCACAGGGAUCACAUCUACAAUGGGCCCAGAAUGCCGCUAGGGGAGUGUUAACACGCACCAGUCACAGGGAUCACAUCUACAACGGGCCUAGAAUGCCGCUGGCGGAGUGUUAACACGCACCAGUCACAGGGAUCACAUCUACAAUGGGCCCAGAAUGCCGCUGGCGGAGUGUUAACACGCACCAGGCACAGGGAUCACAUCUACAACGGGCCCAGAAUGCCGCUGGUGGAGUGUUAACACGCACCAGUCACAGGGAUCACAUCUGCAACGGGCCCAGAAUGCCGCUGGUGGAGUGUUAACACGCACCAGUCACGGGGAUCACAUCUACAACGGGCCCAGAAUGCCGCUGGCGGAGUGUUAACACGCACCAGUCACAGGGAUCACAUCUACAACGGGCCCAGAAUGCCGCUGGCGGAGUGUUAACACUCACCAGUCACAGAGAUCACAUCUACAACGGGCCCAGAAUGCCGCCGGCGGAGUGUUAACACGCACCAGUCACAGGGAUCACAUCUACAACGGGCCCAGAAUGCCGCUGGCGGAGUGUUAACACGCACCAGUCACAGGGAUCACAUCUACAACGGGCCCAGAAUGCCGCUGGCGGAGUGUUAACACGCACCAGUCACAGGGAUCACAUCUACAACGGGCCCAGAAUGCCGCUGGCGGAGUGUUAACACGCACCAGUCACAGGGAUCACAUCUACAACGGGCCCAGAAUGCCGCUGGCGGAGUGUUAACACUCACCAGUCACAGGGAUCACAUCUACAACGGGCCCAGAAUGCCGCUGGCGGAGUGUUAACACGCACCAGUCACAGGGAUCACAUCUACAACGGGCCCAGAAUGCCGCCGGCGGAGUGUUAACACGCACCAGUCACAGGGAUCACAUCUACAACGGGCCCAGAAUGCCGCUGGUGGAGUGUUAACACGCACCAGGCACAGGGAUCACAUCUACAACGGGCCCAGAAUGCCGCUGGCGGAGUGUUAACACGCACCAGUCACAGGGAUCACAUCUACAACGGGCCCAGAAUGCCGCUGGCGGAGUGUUAACACGCACCAGUCACAGGGAUCACAUCACACCUGCUCUCACAUCCCUGCACUGGCUUCCUCUGGCUUCUAGGAUUGAUUUUAAAGUUCAUUUGCUAAUUUGUAAAUAUUUACGUGGUUUAGCUCUGUCCUGCCUCAGUAACAUGACUGUAAGGUAUGUCCCAGGCAGAUCAGUCAGAUCAUCCGGCAGUAAUUUACUGAUUACUCCUAAAACCCGGCUGGGGAGGGAGGGGGCAGCUUUCAGUUACUAUGGGUCCAAAAUCUGGAACUCUCUCCCAGAAAACCUGAGAGCUACUGAAUGUCUCAGUACUUUCAAAACUAGGCUGAAAAGGCAUCUUUUCACCAACGCAUAUAAUAAUCUAUGAUAAUCAGUUUUAUUAUUUUAUGCUUUUAUUAAUAUCGGUAAUUGUGGGGGGGCGGGGGGGCG